GGCUCAAUGAUUACGACCAGUCACUCUGGUUAUAUACGCUAUUCGGACUGCAGCUGUUGAAAAAUGUUAAUUAUGAGAGCC